UACGUAGGUGGCAAGCGUUGUCCGGAAUUAUUGGGCGUAAAGCGCGCGCAGGCGGUCCUUUAAGUCUGAUGUGAAAGCCCACGGCUCAACCGUGGAGGGUCAUUGGAAACUGGGGGACUUGAGUGCAGAAGAGGAAAGCGGAAUUCCACGUGUAGCGGUGAAAUGCGUAGAGAUGUGGGGAACACCAGUGGCGAAGGCGGCUCUUUGGUCUGUAACUGACGCUGAGGCGCGAAAGCGUGGGGAGCGAACAGG
rnacentral:rRNA from 1 species